AGUCGAACGAAGUAGCAAUACUUAGUGGCAGACGGGUGAGUAACAUGUAGGUAUCUGCCCUUUGGCCUGGAAUAACACGAGGAAACUUGUGCUAAUACCGGAUAAGUCUUUACGGAGAAAGCUUAAUGCACCAUUGGAUGAGCCUGCACUUGAUUAGUUUGUUGGUGGGGUAAUGGCCUACCAAGACUUUGAUCAAUAGCUGAUUUGAGAGGAUGAUCAGCCACAUUGGGACUGAGACACGGCCCAAACUCCUACGGGAGGCAGCAGUGGGGAAUCUUGCACAAUGGAGGAAACUCUGAUGCAGCGAUGCCGCGUGAGUGAAGAAGGCCUUUGGGUUGUAAAGCUCUUUCGUCGGGGAAGAAAAUGACUGUACCCGAAUAAGAAGGUCCGGCUAACUUCGUGCCAGCAGCCGCGGUAAUACGAAGGGACCUAGCGUAGUUCGGAAUUACUGGGCUUAAAGAGUUCGUAGGUGGUUGAAAAAGUUGGUGGUGAAAUCCCAGAGCUUAACUCUGGAACUGCCAUCAAAACUUUUCAGCUAGAGUAUGAUAGAGGAAAGCAGAAUUUCUAGUGUAGAGGUGAAAUUCGUAGAUAUUAGAAAGAAUACCAAUUGCGAAGGCAGCUUUCUGGAUCAUUACUGACACUGAGGAACGAAAGCAUGGGUAGCGAAGAGGAUUAGAUACCCUCGUAGUCCAUGCCGUAAACGAUGUGUGUUAGACGUUGGAAAUUUAUUUUCAGUGUCGCAGCGAAAGCGAUAAACACACCGCCUGGGGAGUACGACCGCAAGGUUAAAACUCAAAUGAAUUGACGGGGACCCGCACAAGUAGUGGAGCAUGUGGUUUAAUUCGAAGAUACGCGCAGAACCUUACCAACACUUGACAUGUUCGUCGCGACUUUAAGAGAUUAAAGUUUUCGGUUCGGCCGGACGAAACACAGGUGCUGCAUGGCUGUCGUCAGCUCGUGUCGUGAGAUGUUGGGUUAAGUCCCGCAACGAGCGCAACCCUCACUUUUAGUUGCCAUCAUUAAGUUGGGCACUCUGAAAGAACUGCCAGUGAUAAGCUGGAGGAAGGUGGGGAUGACGUCAAGUCCUCAUGGCCCUUACGUGUUGGGCUACACACGUGCUACAAUGGUAUCUACAACAGGAAGCAAGACUGCGAAGUUAAGCAAAUCCCUAAAAGAUACCUCAGUUCGGAUUGCACUCUGCAACUCGAGUGCAUGAAGCUGGAAUUACUAGUAAUCGUGGAUCAGCGUGCCACGGUGAAUGCGUUCCCGGGUCUUGUACACACCGCCCGUCACACCAUGGGAGUUGGUUCUACCUUAAG
rnacentral:rRNA from 1 species